CCCUUAGAUGUUCUGGGCCGCACGCGCGCUACACUGACGAAUGCAACGAGCUUAUAACCUUGGCCGAAAGGUCUGGGUAAUCUCCAAAUUUCGUCGUGAUGGGGAUAGAUUAUUGCAAUUAUUAAUCUUCAACGAGGAAUGCCUAGUAAGCGCAAGUCAUCAGCUCGCGCUGAUUACGUCCCUGCCCUUUGUACACACCGCCCGUCGCUACUACCGAUUGGAUGGUUUAGCGAGAACUUUGGACCGGAGCUCGGGUGGUCAGCAAUGGCCGCCCGAGACAUACUGGGAAAUCGCUCCAGCUUGAUCAUCUAGAGGAAGUAAAAGUCGUAACA
rnacentral:rRNA from 1 species